AGUGAACGCUGGCGGUAGGCCUAACACAUGCAAGUCGAACGGCAGCACAGUAAGAGCUUGCUCUUACGGGGGGCCGAUGGGGGACGGGACAGGAAAAAAACGUACCCUACUUUUUGGUGGGGGUUAAGGAAGGUAAAUUUAGUCCAAUACCGCAUCCGCCCUUGGGUGGAAGGCGGGGGAUCUUCUAACCUGGCGGGAUUGAACUCGCGGAUUUGGGUGUGGUUAGUUGGGGGGUUAAAGGCCAACCAAGUGGACGAUCCGUAGCUGGUCUGAGAGAAUGAUCAGCCACACUGGAACUGAGACACGGUCCAGACUCCUACGGGAGGCAGCAGUGGGGAAUGUUGGACAGUAGGCGCAAGCCUGGUCCAGCCAUACCGCGUGUGUGGAGAAGGCCUUCGGGUUGUGAAGCCCUUUUGUUGGGAAAGAAAAGCAGCAGGUUAAUACCCAGCUGUUCUGACGGUACCCAAAGAAUAAGCACCGGCUAACUUCGUG
rnacentral:rRNA from 1 species